rnacentral:lncRNA from 1 species
AGGUUUCGGCUAGCGAGGCGGCGCGAAGGGUUUGUGGGAAAUGUGAGGCGAGAGGCUUCGGCGGCGGGAGAAGGGGCUUCGUCCCACCGCCAUCUUUGCGGUGGGUUCUGCUGAAGCCGAACGAUCCUGCAUAUUGUGUUUUUUGUUGUUGUUGUUUUAAGCCCUGGGCUUUCCAGGCUGAACUUUCUCACUACCAUUACACUGAAAAAGAGCCCUUGAAAGUUUUGCUCGGAUCUUGCACAUUCUUUUGGAAGUCUUACUGUGGAAAUUGUCCGUGUUUUCAGCUUCCACAUCCCUUUCUCCUGGGAGAUUUCUUUUCCGUUUUUUUUACUUUGUCUCUUUUCUUUCCUCCGCAACUGCUUUGUUGUUGUUGUUGUUGUUUCUUGUAAACCACUUCUCAAAAGUGAACUAGUUGCCGUUUAAUAGAAGUUUGGAUGAACUGCCCCCAAAAUAAAGGAAAUCCGAACAGUCAUGGAAGUUGACUCCAAUUGGAGGGAUGGCUCUGAUCAAUUACUCUUUCCACAGGUCUAACUGUGUCAUCCAGGCUGUAGCGCAGUGGUGUGAUCAGGGCUCACUGCAGCCUCAAUCUCCUGGGCCGAAGCAAUCCUUCCACCUCAGCCUCCUGAGUAGCUGGGACCACAGGCAUGCACCAUCAUGCCCAGCUAUUUUUUUUUUUUUUUUUUUUUUUUUUGAGAUGGAGUCUCCCUAUGCUGAUCCUGAACUCCUGGGCUCAAGCAAUCCUUCUGUUUUGGCCUCUAAAAUGUUCAGAUUAUAGACAUGAGCAACUGCAGCCAGCCAACAUUACUGAAUUUGUUUAUAUGUUCUAAAAGCUUUUUGGUAGUCUUUAGAGUUUUCAAAAUAUAAGAUCAUAUAAUCUGUAAACAAGGAUUAUUUGACUUCUUCUAUUCCAGUUUGGAUACUCUUUAUUUCUUUCUCUUGUCUUAUUGUUCUACCUAGGACUUCCAGUACUAUGUUGAAUAACAGUGGUGAAAGUGGACAUCUUUGCAGUGUUCCAGAUCUUAGAGGAAGGUCUCUCAGUUUUUCCCUAUUCACUAUGAUGUCAGCUGUGGGUCUGUUGUAUAUGGCUUUUAUUAUGUUGAGGGAAUUGAACAGCUUGGACUUGGAGACAGUGAGUUAAAACAGAAAUAAGAAGGCGGCAGAAAAAGACUACCAGAUUGAAAUGUGUUGGAUAUUCAUAUCCACCCAGCACCUCAGAAUGUGGCCAUGGAGGAUGGAGACAGAGAUUGGAGUGAUGCAUCUUCAAGCCUAGGAACACUAAGGAUUGCUGGUAAUCACCAGAAGCUGGAAGAGGCAAGAAAGUGUCCUUUCCUAGAGCCUUCAGAGAGAGCGCAGCCCUGCCAACACCUUGAUUAUAUGCUUCAAGCUUCUAGAAUUGUGAGAGAAUAAAUUUCUGUUGUUAUAAGCCACCUAGUUUGUGGUCUUUUGUUAUGGCAGCCCUGGGAAACUAAUAAACAUAAUAGUACUGGGAAGUGAGAUGCUGCUGUAGCAAAUACCUAAAAAUGUGGAAGUGGCUUUGGAACUGGGUAGUGGGUAGAGGCUGGGAGAAUUUUUAGGUGCAUGCCAGAAAAAGCCUGGGUUGCCUUGAAGAGACUGUUGGUAGAAAUACUGAAGUUUAAGGGGCUUCUAGUUAGGGCUCAGAAAGAAGGAAGGAGAGCUAUGGAGAGAGCUUCUAUUGUGUUAAGGCACAUAUAUAUAUUACCACUAAAAGAAUGUUUCUAGAAAUAUGAGCAAUAAAGGUGCUUCUGGUGAAGUCCCAGAUAUAAAUGGGGAACAUAUUCUUGGCCACUAGAGAAAAGGCAAUCCUUGUCAUAGAGUGGCAGAAAACUUGGCUGAAUUAUGCUCUACUGUUCGGUGAAAAGUAGAACUUGUAAAAGAACUUGGUUAUUUGGAUUAGGAGAUUUCCAGGCAAAGUAUGAAAGGUGCAGCCAGAUUUCUCUUUGCUGCUGACAGUAAAAUGAGAGAAGAAAGAGAUACAUUGAGAAAUGCACUGUUAAGGAAAAAGAAACCAAGAGUUGAUCAUUUGGAAGAUUCUUAUGCUAUCCAAAUAGCAUGCUAUGAAAAAAGGGCUAAGGUGUAGCUGGACAGCUGUUUGCGAUAGACAUUAGGUGUGUGAUUUAGGGAUCCAGUCAACCAUCUCAGUAACAGCCUGCAAUAAAGAUGGGGUUAUCCAGGAAGGACCCAUGGAGCACCUUCAUGUCUAACAAUGUAAGACUCCUUGACAUUCAUAAAAGACUUACAAGGUUUUUGAGAAUUUUAUACCAGCAGAAACACUGCCAGCCUGGACUGAAAGGGACAGAGACAAGACAAAAUGAAGGAGGAAUGACUUUUGAGGGCAGAGCCAUGAAGCAGAGGUCAGAGAGAAAGGAGUUCCUACCUCAGAGGGCCCAGAGGACAUAGCAUCAAGCCACAGAGGAUUACUCUUAGGCUUUGAAACCUGAGGGAAUUUGCACUGCUGCAUUGUGAACUUGCUAUAGACAAGUAAGUCCUUCAUUUCUUCCAAUUUUUUAGUUUAGGAAUGGGAAUGCCUGGCCUAUGCCUGUUCCAUCAGUGUAUUUUGGAAGCAGGGAACUUGUUUUCUAGUUUCACAAAUCUGUGGAUGGAGAAUAAUUUUGCCCUGGGAUGGACCAUACCCAGAGUUUCACCCAUACUUGGUUUAGAUUAUAUAGCUGAUGAUAUUUGGAACUUUACUGGUGGAUGUUUAGGGGAGAUUUUGAAUUUAGAGCUAAUCCUGGAAUAGGUUAAGACUUUUGAGGAUAUGGGGAUGGGGUGAAUGUAUUUUGUGCAUGGGAUGGGUGUGAGUUUUGGGGAAGCAGAGGGCAAACUUUACU